GACAGAGGAUGCAAGCGUUAUCCGGAAUGAUUGGGCGUAAAGCGUCUGUAGGUGGCUUUUAAGUCCGUCCGUCAAAUCCCAGGGCUCAACCCUGGACAGGCGGUGGAAACUACCAAGCUGGAGUACGGUAGGGCAGAGGGAAUUUCCGGUGGAGCGGUGAAAUGCGUAGAGAUCGGAAAGAACACCAACGGCGAAAGCACUCUGCUGGCCGACACUGACACUGAGAGACGAAAGCUAGGGAGCGAAUGGG
rnacentral:rRNA from 1 species